rnacentral:lncRNA from 1 species
CAAAAAGCCACCACAUGUUCUCACCACACACCCACAUCAUGGACGGAAUAAUGCUGCAGAAGCCAGGAGGCUAACUCCAAAGCAAAGCUGCCGAAAGGAGGAAAAAAAAAAGAAAGAAAGAAAGAAAAAAGAAAAUUCCAUUUCUUCUACAGCGUGACUCUCUCGCCCUCUAUCGGCAAAGUUGGCAUCUUGCGGUGUUUACAGAGCGGCUUUGUGAGGAGGGUGUGUUUGGAACGGAGAAACAGUGACUUGAAAUUGGCACGUGCCUUCAUCCAGUAACUGAUCGAAUGCAGAAGCAGACACCAACAGCUAAGCACUGAGCCAUACUCUUGGAAUUCAGUUGUACAGAUGGAGGAGAGGUUUCACCAAAAUGAUUAUCCAAAUGUGAGCUGAACAAGACAACACCAAUUGAAAGACCCCCGAAGAGGUACUUUCGUAGAGGGAGACCCGCACCCAGGAAUCAGCGAGACCACGAGCUUGGAUGCAAAACCGCAAGAGGCUUUAUUGGAGAUACGGGUACCCGGGCGACUUAGCUUCUGUGAGGCCAAGCGCGCCGAGCCAAGGGAAAGGGGUCCUUAUAUAGGGAAAAAGGCGCAAGCUAGGAGCAGGGAUUCUAUUGGAUAAUUCUAAUGAGGC